rnacentral:misc_RNA from 1 species
GGACAGGCUCUCUCACAGGUACAAGAAUGAGUUACCUGGAGUAGAUGUAUUUGUGUGCACGGCAGAUCCCACAAUAGAACCACCUAUAAUGGUGAUGAACACUGUUUUGUCGGUUAUGGCUUAUGAUUAUUCAUCGGAAAAACUUGGCAUCUAUCUUUCCGAUGACGGCGGAUCAGAACUUACUUUUUAUGCUUUCUUAGAAGCAUGUAACUUUGCAAGAUAUUGGAUACCUUAUUGCAAAAAAUUCAACGUGGGACCAAGGUCACCUGCUG